UCGCGCACUCCGGGCGAGAGUCCCGGGCUGCCCCAGCACCGAAUCACCCGGCCUUGGCCGGCGCCCCCUGUGGAGUUCGGCACGACCUUCGUUCGUCGGCCGGCUCCCCGACUCCUCUUGAUCGGCCCCCUACCCAGAGAGGCUGUAAGGCCUCGACUGCUCCUGGCCGGAGAGCCCGGGGAGUCCUCGGAGUCGGGUUGUUUGAGAUUGAGCCCAAAGCGGGUGUCCAACUCCCUCUAAGGCUAACUACUGGCACGAAACCGAUAGCGAACAGCUACCGUGAGGGAAAGUUGAAAAGAACUUUGAACAGAGAGUUCAACUGAACCUGAAACCGUCUACAGGCAAACGUAUAGGAUCGUAUGGUCCGCCCGUCGGAUUCAGUCCGCCUGUCUCUUGUCGGCGCCGGCCGCUUUUCCCUCGGGGAAUUGCGCCGGCUUCCGUUCGUCGUGCGGUUUACGCACUUUCGGCGGUUACAGCGCCCUUACCGGUUCGUCCUCGGACAGAAACUCCCGGAGGACUGACCUUCGUCUCGGCGCAGAAGCAUACAAGGCCUUAGAGCGUCUCUGCGUCGGCGCACCAACAAAAAGAGUCGCGCAACGGCGUCAACCGCCCGUCGCGUGGCUGCGUUCGACUCUCCCGCACUGCUUCGAGUGCCCUCUCACCGCUCGGCCGCUCCGGCUUCACUCGCCGGUACCGAGCCUGUCCUUGUUGGUUUCUCUCCUCCGAUCUGUC
rnacentral:rRNA from 1 species